rnacentral:rRNA from 1 species
UACGAAGGGGGGCAAGCGUUGUUCGGAAUUACUGGGCGUAAAGCGUGCGCAGGCGGUUUUGUAAGUCUGUCGUGAAAGCCCCGGGGCUCAACCUGGGAAUUGCGAUGGAGACUGCAAGGCUUGAAUCUGGCAGAGGGGGGUAGAAUUCCACGUGUAGCAGUGAAAUGCGUAGAGAUGUGGAGGAACACCGAUGGCGAAGGCAGCCCCCUGGGUCAAGAUUGACGCUCGAUGCACGAAAGCGUGGGGAGCAAACAG